CUCAAUGAAAAUUUAAUAGCCGCAAUAUAUCGUGCUAAGGUAGCAUAAUCAUUUGUCUUUUAAUUAAAGACUAGAACGAAAGAUUUAAUAUUUUUAUCUCUCUACUAUAUAUAUAUAUAUAUAAAUUAUACUAAAUAUUAAAAAAUAUUUAUAUAUAAAAAAGACGACAAGACCCUAUUGAACUUAACUGAAGUUUAACUGGGGUAGUUAAUUAAAUAAAAUUUUAAUUUAAAUUUAAAAAAUAAUCUAAUUCAACUAAAUAUAAUCAAGUUACCAUAGGGAUAACAGCGCAACAAUUUUUUCAAGCUCUUAUUAAAAAAAUUAUAUACGACCUCGAUGUUGAAUUAAUAUUCUAUUAAAUGCAACGAUUAAUAAGAAAGUC
rnacentral:rRNA from 1 species